CCUACGGGAGACAGCAGUGAGGAAUAUUGGUCAAUGGGCGAGAGCCUGAACCAGCCAAGUCGCGUGAGGGAGGACUGCCCUAUGGGUUGUAAACCUCUUUUGUCGGGGAGCAAAAGCCGGACGUGUCAGGCUGUGAGAGUACCCGAAGAAAAAGCACCGGCAAACUCCGUGCCAGCAGCCGCGGUAAUACGGAGGAUGCGAGCGUUAACCGGAUUUAUUGGGUGUAAAGGGGGCGCAGGCGGAUUUUUAAGUCAGCGGGAAAAUCGUGGGGCUCAACCCCAUCCAGCCGUUGAAACUGGGGAUCUAGAGUGUGCGAGAGGUAUGCGGAAUGCGUGGUGUAGCGGUGAAAUGCAUAGAUAUCACGCAGAACCCCGAUUGCGAAGGCAGCAUACCGGUGCACAACUGACGCUCAGGCACGAAAGCGUGGGUAUCGAACAGGAUUAGAUACCCUGGUAGUC
rnacentral:rRNA from 1 species